rnacentral:miRNA from 1 species
UUAGCUUUGUGGUGGCUCUCAGUCUUCUUGGGGAGCAACACGGCCUGGAUGUUAGGCAGAACACCGCCCUGAGCGAUGGUAACUUUACCAAGCAGCUUGUUGAGCUCCUCGUCGUUGCGGAUGGCCAGCUGCAAGUG